GAUGAACGCUGGCGGCGUGCCUAACACAUGCAAGUCGAACGUGAAGGGGUACUUGUAUCCCAGAAAGUGGCGAACGGGUGAGUAACACGUAGGUGACCUACCUCAAAGAAGGGGAUAACUACUGGAAACGGUGGCUAAUACCCUAUGGUUCUGACGAUUGUGGAGAUUGUCAGAUAAAUGCUCGGGCGCUUUGAGAGGGGCCUGCGUCCGAUUAGGUAGUUGGUGGGGUAAAGGCCUACCAAGCCGAUGAUCGGUAGCUGGUCUGAGAGGACGAUCAGCCACACUGGAACUGAGACACGGUCCAGACUCCUACGGGGGGCAGCAGUGAGGAAUAUUGCACAAUGGGGGCAACCCUGAUGCAGCAACGCCGCGUGGAGGAUGAAGGCCCUCGGGUCGUAAACUCCUUUUCUGGGGGAAGAGGAAGGACG
rnacentral:rRNA from 1 species